CUCGAGGCCAGAUCUUUCCGGUUGAUCCCGCCGGACCUGACUGCUAUCGGAUUGUUACUAAGCCAUGCGAGUCAUUGUAGCAAUACAAGGCAUACGGCUCAGUAACGCGUAGUCAACCUAACCUAUGGACGGGAAUAACCUCGGGAAACUGAGAAUAAUGCCCGAUAGAACAUUAUGCCUGGAAUGGUUUAUGUUCCAAAUGAUUUAUCGCCGUAGGAUGGGACUGCGGCCUAUCAGUUUGUUGGUGAGGUAAUGGCCCACCAAGACUAUUACAGGUACGGGCUCUGAGAGGAGUAGCCCGGAGAUGGGUACUGAGACACGGACCCAGGCCCUAUGGGGCGCAGCAGGCGAGAAAACUUUGCAAUGUGCGAAAGCACGACAAGGUUAAUCCGAGUGGUUUCUGCUAAAGGAACCUUUUGUCAGUCCUAGAAACACUGAUGAAUAAGGGGUGGGCAAGUUCUGGUGUCAGCCGCCGCGGUAAAACCAGCACCUCAAGUGGUCAGGAUGAUUAUUGGGCCUAAAGCAUCCGUAGCCGGCUCUGUAAGUUUUCGGUUAAA
rnacentral:rRNA from 1 species